CCUUGAACCAUUAUACUUGUUAUAUUUUCAUGAUUUGAGUUUUGAGACUUUCAGUAAUAAAUUUUAUAUGGAAGAAGAUGACAAAAAUGAGUUAAUACUUUUUUGCGUUUCCUUUGUUUCUAGGUAAUCAAGUGGUAUCAAUUCUUUGAGAGGUGAAUUAAGUGGUAAUAGGAAACCAGUACAACAUCCACUCAAAAAACAGUCACUGAGUUACUGAAUUCUUGUUGGAAGUCAGGCACUUCACCACCUGCUCCCCAGAAGCUCAUAGUUGGAGGAGUUCACAGUGGGAGAGUACAUCAUGAGAAACGCUGGGCUGGAAGAAACACAAGCUGGAAUCAAGAUUUCCAGAAGAAAUAUCAAUAACCUCAGAUAUGCAGAUGACACCACCCUUAUGGCAGAAAGUGAAGAGGAACUAAAA
ensembl:lncRNA